GUGGGUAUCUCAGGAUUUGGUUGUGCGUCUCGGAUGAUUGAUGGCAACAACACUUCAUGGACCUGAGUGAUUCACUUUGAGGCAAGGUGGGGUUGACGAUUCGUGAAGAUAGUAGUUCUCAUUUGGCACAAAGAACAACGUGGUGAGACUGAAUGUUGUGCUGAGGUAGAACUUCGAAGCGUGAUAGCAAUGUUGAGGAAACCUUUGUUAUGCUUUGCACUGGAGGAUUUCUGCAACCUGAAGAAAGCGAAUUCCCUACUGUAACAUCCUGAACCUGGUUUUUUUAAUUACAUUUGUAUUGUGUUGUUCAACAUGAUUUUAGAAAGGAGGAAUUCAUAGACGUUUGCAGCAUAACUCCAGAGUGGGUUGAUUCUCAUAGCUGGGUUCUUUCUUUGUCACCAUGUUUUGAUAAUUACCAGGAAGACAAACUUUCUACAUCACUAGAUCAACAUUAUUUGCACUAGUUUACAUAUUCCAUGUCUCAUAUAAAUAAUUCUUAUCCAUGUGUUUUCUUUGCUCUAU
rnacentral:lncRNA from 1 species